rnacentral:ncRNA from 1 species
UAUGACCCAAAAAUAACAGGGGUCAAGGUCGGCCAGUGAGAUGAUGGGGGAUAAGCUUCAUCGUCGAGAGGGAAACAGCCCGGAUCACCAGCUAAGGCCCCUAAAUGACCGCUCAGUGAAAAAGGAGGUGGGGGUGCAAAGACAGCCAUGAGGUUUGCCUAGAAGCAGCCACCCUUUAUAGAGUGCAUAAUAGCUCACUGAUCGAGCGCCCUUGCACAGAAGAUGAACGGGGCUAAGCGAUCUGCUGAAGCUGUGGGAUGUCAAAAUGCAUCGGUAGGGGAGCGUUCUGCCUUAGAGGGAAGCAACCGCGAAAGCGGGGGUUGACGAAGCGGAAGCG